ACAACUUACUUUGUUCUAUUGACAAAACCCAAACCCUGAAAUUGAUCCCAAAGUAAUGCUUAGAAACGAAAUGCUAAAUGUCAGCAAAUAAAUAAUAAUUAACUUUCUACAUAUGUGCCAUGCCAUAUCUAGGGAAUAUUUAGUAAGUCUUUAGAAUAUUUCUUGAUGAACUCUAAUUUCUAAUUGAACUUGAGAUAACAUAUUCAAUCUCUUCUCUAUUAUCUUUAUCACAUUGUCACCUAGAGAGAUAGAAAGCACAAUAUUAGCAUUCCUGACAUAGAUGAUUUUUGAAUACUAUCUUUUAUUCAACAGAAGAGCAUUCCUCACCCUUCCUUGUAAAAUUUCUAAUUUUACCAAUUUGAUUUAAUUUUUACCUAUUGAAGACAAAAACUAAUGGAAGAAUGUUAAUGAGCCAAUCUAUC
rnacentral:lncRNA from 1 species